GCACUGCCCCAGCUUGUCGCUGGCCUUUCUGAAAGGAAAGACGGGAGGAAAGUCCGGGCAGCAUAGGAUGCUCCACUUCUGAAAGUAGAAGCAGUUGGUGACAGCUGGAUACGGAAGAAGAGAAUGACCGCCCAUGAAAAACGUCGGCUUAGGCUCUGCAAGGAGAACCAAGUUGGCGGGGUAAGGGUGAGAAGGUGUGUGUAAGAGACCACCAGCCGUCGGGUGAUCGGCGGGCUGUUCCGUCUGGAGGCUGCAAGUUCAUGUAAACCAUCGUUGCCCCUUGUGGGCUGAAGGGUUGUCCGCCCGAAUAGAUUCUAUGCGAUGGAGGGUAGAACGCUGGAGACGCAUGGCGACGUGCGUAGUAGAUAAAUGGCAGGCACUGACUGCUGAAUGGCAGUCAGGACAGAACCCGGCUUAUCGGGGCAGUGCUUUC
rnacentral:RNase_P_RNA from 1 species